rnacentral:misc_RNA from 1 species
CGCACAUUGCGCCCCUUGGUAUUCCGAUGGGCACGUCUGCGUGAACAUCAUUUAUCCACUCGAGCCUGGCUCGGUGAUGGGGACUGUCGUCCGUCAAAAAGGCGACAGCCGCCCGCAAACUGUCGGCUGUGGUAAUCUUUACCCGCAGAGUAGUGAACACGCCUCUGAUCUGGGCAUAGAUGCAAGCGAGCCAUACAUAUAUCUUACACUUGAUUUCACGUCAGACGAGGUUACCCGCUGAACUUAA